GGAGAAACCCUGUCUCGAAAAAAAAAAAUUGGAACAACACAGAGAAGAACAUGAACAUGGUCCCCGCACAAGAAUACCACACAGUUCGUGAAGCAGCCCAUUUUUUG
ensembl:snRNA Gm23901 predicted gene, 23901